UCACUGCUGAAGAGUCUCACGAUAGGACGAAACGACCGUCCUGUGC
rfam:Schistosoma mansoni strain Puerto Rico chromosome 4, complete genome